GGCGAACGCUGGCGGCGUGCCUAAUACAUGCAAGUCGAACGCACUCUCGUUUAGAUUGAAGGAGCUUGCUCCUGAUUGAUAAACAUUUGAGUGAGUGGCGGACGGGUGAGUAACACGUGGGUAACCUGCCCUAAAGUGGGGGAUAACAUUUGGAAACAGAUGCUAAUACCGCAUAAAACCUAACACCGCAUGGUGUAGGGUUGAAAGAUGGUUUCGGCUAUCACUUUAGGAUGGACCCGCGGUGCAUUAGUUAGUUGGUGAGGUAAAGGCUCACCAAGACCGUGAUGCAUAGCCGACCUGAGAGGGUAAUCGGCCACACUGGGACUGAGACACGGCCCAGACUCCUACGGGAGGCAGCAGUAGGGAAUCUUCCACAAUGGACGAAAGUCUGAUGGAGCAACGCCGCGUGAGUGAAGAAGGUUUCGGAUCGUAAAACUCUGUUGUUGGAGAAGAAUGUAUCUGAUAGUAACUGAUCA
rnacentral:rRNA from 1 species